UACGGGGGGGGCAAGCGUUGUUCGGAAUCACUGGGCGUAAAGCGCACGUAGGCGGACUCUUAAGUCAGGGGUGAAAUCCUGGGAGCUCAACUCCAGAACUGCCUUUGAUACUGGGAGUCUUGAGUUCGGGAGAGGUGAGUGGAACUGCGAGUGUAGAGGUGAAAUUCGUAGAUAUUCGCAAGAACACCAGUGGCGAAGGCGGCUCACUGGCCCGAUACUGACGCUGAGGCACGAAAGCGUGGG
rnacentral:rRNA from 1 species